UACGUAGGGGGCAAGCGUUGUCCGGAAUCAUUGGGCGUAAAGCGCGCGCAGGCGGUCCUUUAAGUCUGAUGUGAAAGCCCACGGCUCAACCGUGGAAGGUCAUUGGAAACUGGAGGGCUUGAGUACAGAAGAGGAAAGCGGAAUUCCACGUGUAGCGGUGAAAUGCGUAGAGAUGUGGAGGAACACCAGUGGCGAAGGCGGCUUUCUGGUCUGUAACUGACGCUGAGGCGCGAAAGCGUGGGGAGCAAACAGG
rnacentral:rRNA from 1 species